rnacentral:rRNA from 1 species
AUUGAACGCUGGCGGCAUGCCUUACACAUGCAAGUCGAACGGUAACAGGUCUUCGGAUGCUGACGAGUGGCGAACGGGUGAGUAAUACAUCGGAACGUGCCUAGUAGUGGGGGAUAACUACUCGAAAGAGUGGCUAAUACCGCAUGAGAUCUACGGAUGAAAGCAGGGGAUCGCAAGACCUUGUGCUACGAGAGCGGCCGAUGGCCGAUUAGGUAGUUGGUGGGAUAAAGCUUACCAAGCCGACGAGCUGUAGCUGGUCUGAGAGGACGAUCAGCCACACUGGGACUGAGACACGGCCCAGACUCCUACGGGAGGCAGCAGUGGGGAAUUUUGGACAAUGGGCGAAAGCCUGAUCCAGCAAUGCCGCGUGCAGGAUGAAGGCCUUCGGGUUGUAAACUGCUUUUGUACGGAACGAAAAGCCCCGGGUUAAUACCCUGGGGUCAUGACGGUACCGUAAGAAUAAGCACCGGCUAACUACGUGCCAGCCGCCGCCGUAA